rnacentral:rRNA from 1 species
GAUGAACGCUGGCGGCGUGCCUAAUACAUGCAAGUCGAGCGAACGGACGAGAAGCUUGCUUCUCUGAUGUUAGCGGCGGACGGGUGGGUAACACGUGGAUAACCUACCUAUAAGACUGGGAUAACUUCGGGAAACCGUAGCUAAUACCGGAUAAUAUUUUGAACCGCAUGGUUCAAAAGUGAAAGACGGUCUUGCUGUCACUUAUAGAUGGAUCCGCGCUGCAUUGGCUAGUUGGUAAGGUAACGGCUUACCAAGGCAACGAUGCAUAGCCGACCUGUGAGGGUGAUCGGCCACACUGGAACUGAGACACGGUCCAGACUCCUACGGGAGGCAGCAGUAGGGAAUCUUCCGCAAUGGGCGAAAGCCUGACGGAGCAACGCCGCGUGAGUGAUGAAGGUCUUCGGAUCGUAAAACUCUGUUAUUAGGGAAGAACAUAUGUGUAAGUAACUGUGCACAUCUUGACGGUACCUAAUCAGAAAGCCACGGCUAACUACGUG